UGGUGGAUGUGGAGGUACUCGAGACCGGACGCGAUGCCCAACGCGAUGCGGUAGCGAGCGAGCCAGUCGAGGUCGCGCUCGCCGUCGCGCGCGCUGUUGAGCACCGCAUCCAGGCUACCGUUCUUCAUAAACUCGUAUAUGAGGAGGUGGCAGUCCGGGCGCGUUACGUGGGCCAACAGCGGCAGCAGAUUGCGGUGGCGGAUAUGGCCGACGGUCUGGAUCUCCGAUCGGAUCUGCCGCAUCCACUUGUCGAGCAGCCGGCUCUCCUCGUCGGAAGUCGGCUCAGCGCUGUCCGGGGUGCGCUUCAUGAUCUUCUUGAUGGCGACGACCAUGGCCGGGCGGUCUGGCUUGCUGGGAUCGGGUGGCAGCUGGGCCUUGUACACCUCGCCGCACCCUCCCCGGCCGAUGACCUCCAGGCCCGCGAGCCCGUCGUCCUUCUCGAGGAAGGCGAGGUCCUCGGCGCGCUUGAUUUGCUUGGGGCUGAAGAUGGAGGGGCCGCCGGGGUUCCUGUACCGCCCGCGGAUGCAGUUCACCACCAGCCGGAACAGCACCGAGAGGACGGCCCCGGAGACGAUCCCCGCGAGCGAGCCGGUGAUGAAACCGACGAUCCAGUUCCUCGCGCUCUGCUUGUGGCUGUGGCUGUGAUGGUGCUCAGACGACGAUCUAUUGGUCGAGGAAUUUGACGGAGCGAGAGCUGGAGUGGUCUUGGUCUCGGCCAAUACGUAUCGCUUCGGGAAGGGACUCCGGCGGUGGGCGGAUCGGUGAGCGGAUUGAGAAGCGAGACGAGAAGGGAGACGGUGAGGGUGGCGAAGGGUCAUGCGGCGGAGGGCAUGGGAGCCAUCGUAGGGAUAGAUGGCAGAGAUGAGAGCAGGGAGGAGGAGGAGGAGGAGGAGGAGUGAUGGGAGGAACGCGGUGGCAGCCAUUGGCGUCGUCUCGGUGGGUUGAUGCCCGGUGGGAUAAAUGGGGAUAGGUGUGUGGAAAACUCGUAUCGGCGGGCCCGCCAAAUGGACGAUUACCGAUGGUGGACCCUACAAAUCGAACGGAUACGAUUCGUGGGAAGACUCGGAGGAUGACAGAGGCAGUCAAAGGCUUAGUAGACCGCAAGACGUAUACAUUCCCAUCGGCUACUCCUCGUGUUACACCAGCUAGCGUCUCGGCUUUCUCAGUGGGACCCACUUAACUCUCGAAUCACUCUUGAGGUGCGCAGGUGGGAACAUUCAUCGAUGGCUCAUGGAACGUUUCGGCGUGCUUGACGGGUCGAAAGGUCCUUCCUGCACAAUGGAUCUCCUCCAAAGCAUUCUUCGAAGACAUGAAAUGGACGGUGGGUGAUGCCAGAGAAAGGAUAAUAAUAUACCGAUCAAUUCAAAUAUCUCAAUAAAAAUAAUCGAUUCAUGUUGUAAAAUAGACAUAUUAAUUCUGCUAAUUAAGUGUUAUGGAUUCCCGAUGAUUAAUUAUGAUUGUGAUUUAUAAGCAACAAGAUGACUGUUUGGAAGAAUCUUAGAAUCUUGAAAGGCAUGAAUAGCCGAAUUAGGCAUCUUGUCGGAACUCGUCUUGUGAUUACACAUACGGACACUCACUCUCGCUGUAGUCUACCAUUUCCUUUCACGAAAACCAUGAAGGUGGGCAAGAAUUCUAUUGGUGGAUCCCUCGAGGAAGAUUUGCUAUGAUUACUUUAUCCUGAUGAGGUGGAUAGCAUUAGGGAGAUUUCACUUAAAGCCAAGAACGAGUUCUAUCAUGCAAAGAUGAAUAGGGACAUUAGGCGCUCAGAUUGGCUGUAUGAACACCUAACUGGGGAUACAUUUUGCAGAUAAACAAGCGAAAUAGCAAAGACGUGUUCACAAAUAAUAAAAUAAUAGAAGUAGAGCGUGUUGUUGCAAUGACAUCGCAUCUUAGAAAUCAUGCAACACAGCCUAAGACUUCGGGUAGACGUGCGUUUGCAGCACUUAAAAGAGCAGUCGCAUUCGAUUGCUACGUCUCGUGUGGCACCGAGGAAUACUACCGUGUGCCGUGGAAGCAACCACGGAGGCUGUUCUUCCCCUCACUUGUCUGAUGUGUUGUCGAUGCUGGAAACAUUUCAUGUAAUCAUUUAUGUUCUUUUUUUUUUUUGCCAACUAUAAGUGAGAAAAUCUUCAAAAUUUAUAGAACUAAAUUUCAAACAGAGCCAAAACAUAUAAAUUUAUAGGAUCAAAAUUUAUGGCCUCAACCAAAAAUAAAGGAACCGAUCUAUCAUCAGCAAAUUAAUGUUUUAUAUAAAUGAAUGUACUAAGUAACUUAACUGAUAAAAAUCAUACCAGAUCAUGACAAGACUAUACCUCAUCAGAACAUGAUAAGAGGGAUCAAAUUCCGCCUUACCCGCUGUCAUAAAAAAAAAAUCCCAGAUAAAAAAUAAAUAUGGAACAGAAGGAAUAUACUAUAUAUAACUUUAAAAUAAAAAAUCAAUAAAACAAAUAUUAUCAGAGCUCAUAUUGACACCAAUAGCAAAUUUAUGUUGACUGUCAAUCCUACAUCCUAAUACAACCAGAACAACAUUAUUACCGAUUUCCAACACACCAGACAUCGAUCGCUGAUCGCUUUAAAGACGACAAAAUCAGCAGAAGAACACAACAAUAUGACAAGGACAUGUUUAUAUUAGUCUUUUAAACUGCCAUGUGCCUGUAUAUCUAUCUAAGAACCAACAACCAUUCAAAUUCUCAUCCACUUGACAUCCCCGAGCAAAUGGUAAGUGGAUGUAAGAAAACCAGAAACAUGGAAUUUGGAGAUCAAGUCCCUGUUCUUCUCCAUUGGCUAAUCCAUGGCGUGAACUAGCCGGAUAUGCCGAGUUUUCCACACGUUGGUGGAAAGAAUGCACACAGUAGACCGAGUCCUUCAACCCUUGACUUGCAAGUCAAGAUUCGUCCCUGCUACCAACAAGUGAAGAGUUCCAGUAACUAAAUCAUAUUGCAACCAGAAAUAGACUACACUGAACAAGAUAGUACAAAGUACAAACAUGCAUUCAUUUAAUCAUUGGACUGGUGAUUCUGGCAAUUGAACAAGUCCUAUUUAGCUAGAAAAUAUAAUAUCUCUGAUGGGUAGUCCUUUUUUUAGGAAAGACACCUCUGCAGAACACAAAAUGCAAGAUGUACCAUUCAGAUAAGCCAACUGAAUUGUUGGUCAGUUCAAAUGACAAACCAAGAGGGAGAAAAAUGUUGACAUCAAUGAGCAGGAUCUGGUUUUAGUAUACCGUGUCCGAUGGAAGACUUGAAAAGCCCUGGCUUCAGAUACUUUUGGCAGAGACAAAGGGACUAAAACUUCUCAAUGGCAUUUAGGUUAACCAGUAGCUCCACUCCUGCCUUCAAAUCAAAUCUUAUAACAGGAAGAGAACUUAUGAUAAACUAGAACAACAAUCACAUGUUAAAAGUAAGUUCAUGCAAGUUUCCUCUCUUUUAUAGCUAAUGAAUUCCUAUUUUCUCAUGUCACAUGAAUUCCAAUUUUCCACUCUUACCAUUAUUGGUCACGGCCACUCUAUAAUUCCUUCCUCAUAGAUGACCCCAAACUUUGAAUUUCAAAGUUUUCCAAAGAUAAGAAAUUGAUCGUACAAAAAGACUAGAACAGUAAAGAAAUAUUAUGAUCAGAAUACUUUUGUUCUUUUUUUUCUUAGCUGAUGCAAGAAGUUAAAGAAUCUCAAAGCAUGCAUACAGAUGAAAACAAGAACCCCAUCGACCUUCACCAUGGCAUGAUAAUUUUCAAUGUCAAUGCCAUCCACAUUGUCACAUACUUGACUAAGAAAAACAAUAUUGAAAAAUGCAGUUUGAUGAAACUAAUAAGUUAAUUUGGAUCCCUCAUUCUGCGAUUUUUGGUAUUUGCAGUCAACUAUGCUUUGUGUCGGAAACUAGAAAAGGAAUAACAUUUAAGAAAAGAGUGCAUGCCUGAAAUCAAAAUCAGGGCAGGAGAUCCUCCAGCCAGCCGCCGUGCUCCCUCCCAGCCUCGUUUUGUCUCUCACAUCCAUUGCCUUUUGUCGAGGAGAGAUCUAAAUCAGAGAAAGCGACAAUAUAUUAGAUCAUGAUAACCUUAUAAUAGUAAAAGAAAUAUAGCAGUUGUUCAAGAUUGAGGACCAUUCAGGGGGUUGCUUGAGAGGCACCGGUGGAGAAUUAUAUCCGAGCCGUGACUCUAGGGCUUUGAGCCCGGACACGAGAUCGUCCACGGAGGUCCAUGGCUCAGGAUCGACCGAAGCGACCACGAGAUAGCUCUGAGGGCACGAAAGCUCCAUACUAAGUAUUAAAAAAGAACUUCUGUAAUAUUUGAUUUAAAAAAUACAAAGAUCGAACUUAUACUUUUCCUUUUAUAAGUUUAUAUAAUACUUAUAAACUAAGGUGAUUUAUGCUUCAAUUUUCUUUUAUUAUUAUCCACACCUUAAGUAGUGCCUAAAAUAUUCUUAGUCUUUCUAAGUUUAAUCUUAAUUCUUUCUAGAUACAUAUACUAGUCGACUCAUUUAAGUUUCACUUAUCCUUAACUUUAUUAUAGUGAAUUUUAAAUGAGCCAAAUUAAGAAGAAACAAAAUUAAGAAUAAAUUAUAUGAGAUAUAAUUCAACUACAUUCAUGUUCAAUAUUCUCGAGUUUAAAAUUUUGUCAGCAUAUUGAAGAUAUAAUCUUGAAUUCCUCAAAUAUUAUCAUACUAAAUUUCAAUUAGUUCUUUCAUUAAUAUAUCAACCAAUAACUUAUAAAAAAAUUUAGAUUAAUCUUUAAAAAAUUUAAUACACUAUAAUAAAGUCUAAAUAUUAUUAGCAAUUAUUAUAAGACUAAGUCUUUUAGACCUUUUUCGAUUAAUUAUUUCAAUUAUUUGUUCCACAGAACUUAGUAAUUAAGUUUAUGAUUCUUUCAAUUAAUCUGAUUAAGGUCUAACACACCUAAUGUAAAUUAUAUACACUCAAACUAUUUAUAAUAAAUUAAUCCAAAAAAAUAUAGGGACAUUUACAAGACUAUAAUGAAGGAAGUACCACUAUAAUAAUAUACUAUUAAUGCUUUGAGUUUUUCAAGUAAUGUUUUACUAUUGAUAACAUCUUUAUUUCACCUUUAAGUGAAAUAUUAACAUAUUUAGUGUUCAUAUAAAAAAAAAUUAUGGAGAACUGAUACCAUCCACAUAUAAUAGUAUUGUUAUCUUUGGGUAAAUAACGAUAAACUGUAAGGAUAUCCAAAACAACAUCAUCCAACUCAUCACAUAAUUAUUCGAAAUAGAUUCUACUUUUGAAUUAUCUAAUUCUCCUGAUUAUAUAUGUCACUGUGAAUAUUAUUUUUAAAAUAUCAUUUAAAACUAAUUCUUUAAUAUAAUUUUAUAAGUUAUUGGUUAGACCAAUUUGAUAAUUACAAGACUAAUACAAUAAUAUAAAAUAUAGUUUAAUAUAUUCUACAAAUAAUAAAAUAUUUAUUGUAAAUUACAUCUCAUAAGCCUAUGAUCCCAAGGAACUUUGACAAUUACCGAUCAAAUAAAACUUAGAGAUAUAAGUUACAAAUAAUAUUCAUCGAAUUUCUUCAAUUUAAUUUAUACUGAAAUAGUUCAAUAAUAAUAAUGACCAUAAUAAUCAUUGAACAUUAAUUAGUAUUAGAAAAAAAAACUCAUAUGAUAACUACAAUCAUGAUGAAACAUAAACUAUACCUUUAUGUGAAAAAUAAAUAUUAUUUCAUAAGUUCUAACAUAUACGUGUGAAUAACCAAAUAAAUAUCCAAGAAUAAUAAUUGAAUUUUUAUUUAUCAAAUGUAAAAUUUUAUUCAUAUUAUAUAAGAAAACUAUAAAAGAAAAUUAUAAUUUAUAUAUUUUUAAAUUUCACAUGAAACCCUUAUAGGGCAAGCUCAAAAUUGGGCUACCCAAAUUAAGCUUAUAGAUUUAGGCUGACCAUUCGCUAAAUUAAGCCUAUCAAAAUUAAAAUUGAUCAAAAUAAAAAAUUAAUCAAAAUUUGAUUUUUCUUAAAUUCGAUCAAAACUUGAUUGAUCGAAUCUAGAUCUAAUCAAGUAGUCAAAAUAUAAUUAUGAUUAAGUUUGAUUAGAAUAAAUUAAAUUAAUUAAUUUUAUAAAUGAGGAUAUAAAUAAAAAAAUUCUAAUUUUUUGAAGGGUAGACCUAUAAUUUUUUACUUUGGAUAUAUCAGGGAAAUUUCUGAUUUCUAGAAAGGUAAAAUUGGAAAGCAUACACAGGGACACGGAUUGAAAUUAUCUUAUUUAUGAGGGGUAAAACUAUCCUUUAGUAAAAAUCCUAACUAUUCCUUUCUAUGAUCACAGCGGGAGGAGCGAUCGUUGCUUGCGUAGGGUGUUGUAGCCAUCAUCCAUGGUUGUUGCGUGAGUCGCGGUCACUGCCACCGUGGGCAUCUAGUUGACGUUGUUCGUGGCCAACAAAUGUUGUUGUAGUGGUGUUGUUGCAGCCGUCUCACGUAGCAGUGCUGCCGUAGCCGCCGCAGGUAGCGACGAUGCUAUUAUUGUAGUCGCACACAGCGCCAUUACGCAACCACUACAACCAUCACGGGCAAUAGUACUGCUACAGCUAUUGCACACAAUGACGCUAUGGAGCCAUUGCCCGCGACUGGGCUAGUGACAACUGGAGGUCGUCGCCCUCAAUAAUAUUGUCACCAAUAGUAAACUGUCAAGCACAAGGAACCUUACAUCAUUCGCAAGCAAGCGAUAUGGUGGACUAGAUAAAAAAGCAGAUUGACAAUAGCGACAAAUUGUUCAUGCAUCGUAAAUUAAAACUGAUUAACAACUUUUGUCGAGCGAAAUGUGCUAACAAAUAGAUUUAAAGUAUUUUAUUUCAUAACCAUGACUCUGAUACCAAUUAUAAGCAUAAAAAACCAUAAUAUCUACUAUUAUAUGAAAAAUUUUAAUACCAAAACUUGAAAUUAAAUAAUAAUAUAUUUAAAUUUAUGAUAUUUAUCUUUCGAUGUCAUUCAAAAAAAUAUUUAUCUGAUCUAUAAGCACAUCAUCGUUGGAUUCAAAAUCUAUAGUGAUGUCAAUCUACAAGGAGAAUUAGAUUCACAUUCUCCUCUCUUUCUAUCCUUCGUAGGAAGAAAUGAUGGAUUCAUAAAUAAAGGGGAGAUGAUAGAAGAUUUAUAAUAUCUCGUUGAUUGAUUUAUGUAACUAAAGAGAUAAAAAAAAUCUAUAAUCUCUCAAUAAUACCAUCGCACAUCAUGUUUAUAAUCUCUAGGAUGUUCUAUAUAUUUAUAGGCGAAAACGAUAAGUAAUUAACAGUCUCUCUCAUCAAGCUAAUCUCCUAAAAAUUCUAUCGUAAUUAGAUUUUUAUUAAUCAAUAAUCGUAAUUAGAAUUCAAUCAUAUUCAUAAUAUAUCUCAGCUAAUUAGAUACGGCUAUAUAAUCUAAGAGAGGAAAGUAAGGAAUAGAAAGGAGAUUGGGAAAUGAACACGAAGAGGAGGAGAAGUAACUCACGAGCUGUCAGGGUGACACCGGAACCUUGGACGGCUCCCACUUCAUCGUUGAGGCGGCCGGCGUCGGAAUGAUCGAUCGAUGCGCAGCGCCGGGCGAGGAGAAAACCCUAAAGAAAGUGAGGAACAAUGAGGCAGGGAGAGAGAGGAGAGGGGAAGAGGAAUUCACGAGCCGACAGAGAUGACACCGGAACCCUUGAACGGCUCCCACUUCAUCUUUGAGGCGAUCGACACUGGAAUGGUCGAUCGCAUGUCGAUCGCUACGCAGCGUCGGCCGAGGGGUGGGGGCAGAGGCGGUACGCGACAAUGCCAAUAACAAUAAUAAUGACAAUAAGAAUAAUGGCGAUUUCCUCCCACAUUUUCGAAUUUUCUGUUUUUUUUUCUUUUCUGGUAACGGUUUUUCAUGGAGACUCCCUUAUUUUCAUAACACCCGUUUCCGUCGUAAACAUUUUUAUUUGAGACUUGAUAUUUACGAUACGAUUCGUGGGAUCUGUGAGUGAUAUUAUUCGCUAUUUAUUUUACACGGAAUGUUAAAAAUAAAUAAAUACCAGUUUGGGUAAUCAUUUGAUUUUUUUUUCAGGUAUGCAUCCUUUAAUUCUACUAUUCAAAAGCUUAUAUAGUUAUCAACUUCACCAUUGGUCCGAGUGUCAUGUUUGAUUGGUCAAUCACAUCAGUUCAAUUUGACUGGUUAUAAUUUUUUUCGAAAUGAAUUACGAUGUUUUACUUUAGUAGCCACUAUAGCGAUUCAAAAUAUGAUAACAAUAUCAAUCUUGAUGUGAAUAAUAUACGCUUGAUAUUAGACCAUAUCUUUAAUAAUGAAUAUAUCAAACCCAAAUAUUCAUAAUUUAAUAUAUUAUCUCAUCGAGAAUGGUUGACUUUGGUCAUCAUUGACUUCCAAAAGUCAAAAAUUCGUUGGGGAGUCGACAACGCGGCUUCAACGAUCAGUUGAACUGUACAGCUCCUUCCUUGACGCUUCUAUCACUGAAGAAAUCUUCGUCCCGCUGCCUGAUUCAAUGAAAAACCACGAAGAAGAAGGAGGACAGCAAUGAGGCUAACCAUUAUUAGGCCUUUCUGCGGCACUUGGAACACUUGUAGCUAUAUAUACAUCAAACUAAAGGUUAAUUCUUGAGGCUAAUGCUUGAUCUGGGCGAGCAUUAGUCGGACCUCCCUGCUAUUAGGCCUCGCUUUGGGGUUAUCGUAAGUGCAGAAGCAUGCAAUCUUCAACACCAGCAGCAUUUGCUCCUCAAACCCAUUGCCCACAAGUGUUCGAUCGAUCGCCACCUCCGGCUCCGCGGACCUCAUCGCGUUCCUCAUCCAAUCCACCAUGCUUAUCUCCUCCGUCGUCCAAUAAAACUCGUCGGUGGGGAACUUGCCGGUGACGAGCACCGCCAGGAUGACCCCGAAGCUGUAGACGUCGCAUCUGUCGGUGAACAGCAGAGUCUGAUGGUAUUCCGGCGCUAUGUACCCGAUGGUUCCCGCCACCCCCGACCUCAUGGAGCCGCUUACCGUGUCCGGGACCACCUUGGCGAGCCCGAAGUCGGAGAUCCGGGGGUUGAGGUCGUCGUCGAGCAGGAUGUUCGCGGGCUUCAGGUCUCUGUGGAUCACCCGCGGGCGGUGCACCACGUGGAGGUACUCGAGGCCGGCAGCGAUGCCGAGGGCUAUGAUGUACCGCGCCGGCCACUCCAGCUUCCUCCUCCCCGCGGACGCGCCUCUGAUCGCGUCAUGCAAGGUCCCGUUCCUCAUGAACUCGUAUAUGAGGAGGUGGCAGUCCCGGCGCGUUACGUGAGCCAACAGCGGCAGCAGAUUGCGGUGGCGGAUAUGGCCCACGGUCUGGAUCUCCGACCGGAUCUGCCGCAUCCACUUGUCGAGCAGCCGGCUCUCCUCGUCAGAG
rnacentral:lncRNA from 1 species